rnacentral:rRNA from 1 species
UACGUAGGGUGCAAGCGUUAAUCGGAAUUACUGGGCGUAAAGCGUGCGUAGACGGUUAUUUAAGUCAGGUGUGAAAGCCCCGGGCUCAACCUGGGAAUUGCAUUUGAGACUGAAUAGCUAGGGUGCGGAAGAGGGAAGCGGAAUUUCCGGUGUAGCGGUGAAAUGCGUAGAUAUCGGAAGGAACACCAGUGGCGAAAGCGGCUUCCUGGUCCAGCACCGACGUCAGGCACGAAAGCGUGGGGAGCGAACGGG